GCCCUUAGAGUUUGAUCCUGGCUCAGAACGAACGCUGGCGGCGUGCUUAACACAUGCAAGUCCGACGUGAAAGGGGAGCAAUCCCCCGGUAGGGUGGCGAACGGGUGAGUAAGACAUGGGAAUCUGUCCUUGAGAUGGGGAUAUCCUUCCGAAAGGAGGGUUAAUACCGAAUACCGUCCGGUGGAUGAGAGUUCAUCGGGGAAAGGGAGGCCUCUGGCAACAUGCUUCCGCUCAAGGAGGAGCCCAUGGCCCAUCAGCUAGUUGGGAGGGUAACGGCCUACCAAGGCGAAGACGGGUAGCUGGUCUGAGAGGACGAUCAGCCACACUGGCACUGAGACACGGGCCAGACUCCUACGGGAGGCAGCAGUGAGGAAUUUUGCGCAAUGGGGGCAACCCUGACGCAGCAACGCCGCGUGUGGGAAGAAGGCUUUCGGGUUGUAAACCACUUUUGUAAGGGACGAAGUCCUUUCGGCAAAUAACCGAGGGGGAUGACGGUACCUUGCGAAUAAGCCACGGCUAACUCUGUGCCAGCAGCCGCGGUAAGACAGGGGUGGCAAGCGUUGUUCGGAGUAACUGGGCGUAAAGGGUCUGUAGGUGGUUUUUCAAGUCUUUGGUAAAACGCCGUGGCUCAACCAUGGUUUGGCCAAGGAGACUGGGAGACUCGAGGCUGGGAGAGGGAAGCGGAAUUUCUGGUGUAGCGGUGAAAUGCGUAGAGAUCAGAAAGAAGGCCGGUGGCGAAGGCGGCUUCCUGGAACAGACCUGACACUGAGAGACGAAAGCGUGGGGAGCAAACAGGAUUAGAUACCCUGGUAGUCCACGCCCUAAACGAUGGGAACUAAGUGUGGGGAGCAAUCCCCGUGCCGCAGCUAACGCAAUAAGUUCCCCGCCUGGGGAGUACGGCCGCAAGGUUGAAACUCAAAUGAAUUGACGGGGAAGGGC
rnacentral:rRNA from 1 species